rnacentral:misc_RNA from 1 species
GAUGAAGAACGCAGCGAAAUGCGAUAAGUAAUGUGAAUUGCAGAAUUCAGUGAAUCAUCGAAUCUUUGAACGCACAUUGCGCCCCCUCUGGUAUUCCGGGGGGCAUGCCUGUUCGAGCGUCAUUUCACCACUCAAGCCUCGCUUGGUAUUGGGCAACGCGGUCCGCCGCGUGCCUCAAAUCGACCGGCUGGGUCUUCUGUCCCCUAAGCGUUGUGGAAACUAUUCGCUAAAGGGUGCUCGGGAGGCUACGCCGUAAAACAAACCCAUUUCUAAGGUUGACCUCGGAUCAGGUAGGGAUACCCGCUGAACUUAAGCAUAUCAAUAAGCGGAGGA